AAUAGGAGAAUGAUAAAUUAGAUUUUUCCUCUUAUUUUCAACUUAUUUUUCUCCUGCAAAAAUUCAAAUUCAACUAAAAAAGGAUAAAAAUCAAGAGGAAAAUUCUGAUUUGUCAUUCUCUUGUU
rfam:Gossypium raimondii Chr13_contig_1007, whole genome shotgun sequence.